rnacentral:ncRNA from 1 species
GGCCAACUUGAUUUUGGAACAAUUCUUUGAGAAGGACAUAAAACACGUUCCGUUUUUUUGUCCCCACCCCCUCAUUACCCUAAUCUCACCAACAACUAUCUAAGAACUGGUACGGACAAGGGAAUCUGACUGUCGAAUUGAAGCAUAGCAUUGCGAUGGUCAGAAAGCGUUGAUGCAGUGUGAUUUCUGCCCAUUUCUCCGAAUGUUAAAGUGAAGAAAUUACCAAGUACGGGUAAAUAGCGGAAGUCACUAUGGCUCUAUUAGGGUAGCAAAUGCCUCGUCACCUAGUUAAAUGUCGGGACUAAAUGGAUUAGCGAGACAGCCACUA